GCCCGAAACACAUGAUUCCGCUGCGGUUGCGAACGCGUCUCAUCCGCUCGCCAUGGACUUCCGUUUGCCCGAUUCCGCUGCCCUCCGGCCACUACCCUCGGCUUCCCUCUCCUCCUCGUGGCGCCUCGACCUUUACCUGUCUCCUAUUAUCCCGCCCGCGAAGAGGUGGAGAGGGAACUGCAGGCCUCCCUUCUCCGUUAGGGCAGCGAGGAGGAGCGCCGCCUCUAAGGGUCUCCAGAAGGACGCGAAGCGGGACCUGUCUCGGAUCCUCAGGACGGAGGCCGCCGUUCUCGGCGUCGAGCGCAAGGCCGGGUCCGCUAAGUCCACCCGCUUGUGGCCUAGAGCCGUUCUUGAGGCGCUCGAUGACUCCAUAUCCAACAACCGGUGGGAGUCGGCUCUCAAGAUCUUUGGAUUGCUUCGUAGACAACACUGGUAUCAGCCGAAACCUCAAACCUAUGCGAAGCUAUUGACUAUGCUGGGAAAGUGUAGACAGCCAGAUCAUGCGACUUCACUUUUCAGAGUUAUGCUCUCUGAAGGGCUCAACCCGACUUUAGAUGUUUACACUUCACUGGUAGGUGCAUAUGGCCACAGCGGUCUCCUAGAUGAGGCAAUUCAUACGAUGGAUGAGAUGAAAACCAUUUCCGAUUGCAGACCAGAUGCAUAUACUUAUACAAUUCUUAUCAACUGUUGCUGCAAACUUCGGCGCUUUGAUUUGGUCCCUUCACUGCUUGCUGAAAUGUCUUAUCUGGGGAUCGAGUCCAACACUGUUACUCAUAACACAAUUAUAGAUGGAUAUGGGAAAGUUGGAAUGCUUGAAGAAAUGGAGGAUCAUUUGUCAAAUAUGCUUGAGAGUGGGAAAUGCUUGCCUGACAUAUUUACAAUGAAUUCUUUUAUUUGGGCUUAUGGUAGUGUUGGUAGAGUAGAAGAAAUGGAAAGAUGGUAUGAUGAGUUUCAGCACAUGGGUGUCGAGCCUGAUUUGCAGACAUUUAAUAUUCUGAUCAAGUCAUAUGGUAAAGCAGGCAUGUAUGGGAAAAUGGUGUUGGUUAUGAAUUAUAUGAAAAAACGCUUCUUUUCUCCCGAUGCAGUCACUUUCAACAUAAUAAUAGAAUGUUUUGGGAGAGCAGGCAACAUUGAGAAGAUGGAAUACUUUUUCCGUUUGAUGAAAAUUCAAGGGGUCAAGCCUAAUUCUGUCACUUAUUGCUCACUAGUUAGCGGAUACAGUAAAGCUAAUCUUCUGGAGAAGGUUCCUUCAAUUAUCAGGCAAACAGAAAACACUGAUGUUGUUUUGGACACACCUUUUUUCAACUGUGUUAUUAGUGCAUAUGGACAAGCUCGAGAGGUGAAAAUAAUGGAAGAAAUGUUCACACAUAUGAAGGAAAAGAACUGCACACCUGAUACCAUCACAUUUGCAACAAUGAUUCAGGCAUACAAUGCUAUAGGCAUGUAUGAAGCUGCCAAAGAGUUGGAAAACAAAAUGCAUAUCACUGAAAGAAGAUUUCUGGCACCAACUAAUAGUAAGAAGCAUCAUGAAGCUUCUUAUGUAGAUGAAGACAUUGGUCCAUCUUGUGAAGACUCGGAUGCCAUUUAACCUCUGAUGUGGCAAGCAUACGCUCAUAUGUUUCAUUUCUUAUCUCUCUUGGAGCGCUUGCAUGGAAUCUUUCAGGGGUUGACGUGUGGGUGAAUAGGGAUUUCCUUCAACACGCAAUGUCUGCUAAUGUGUUGGAGACAUGGACGAUUUCAUCAAUCCUUACUGAUACCUCUAUUAAGAAUGAUACUGCAGUAAUGAUGAUCAUGAUUUCCAUUAGCGAUUUCACAGACACUUGGCAAGUCAUGCUGCUACUUCUCUUCAGUUGCUUCUAUUUCUAUGAGACUUGUUGCUUGUGUUAAUUAACCAGCAGAUGACUUUAAUGCAUUUUGGAUCUUCAGGACAUUGUCGGUCGUCUCUCCUACAAGCAAACACUCUGGGACUCUUUCGUCGACUUGAAGGAUCUUCACAAGAGCAUGGUCUUCUGCAAGCACUGUCAAGAUUAUUCUUCACAUAACCAGUAGGCACAGCUCCUUGUUUCAUCUCCGACCUUGAGGUAUCGAAACCAGGGAUGUGUGUCAAGCCAAAGCAGCCCCGCACGGUUUCAUCUUGUAGUCGUGCAUGGUUGCAUCUUGACAAGCUUGCAUGUGAGAAUCUUUAGCUGCUUGAGAGUUGAUGUCACACUUGUAGCUCUGCAGCUUCCUAAUUGAUGAAUCAUUUCCACCAACAGUCCUAUUGUAUUCUUCCACAUGAUGUUGAAACAGAUCAAGAGCAUGAUUUUGAAGGAAUCAGCAAGCUUUUCCAUGCUAGGAGCCGUUAGAAGGUGAAGCUUUUCCCCCUGACCAACCGGGCGAAUCAGAAUGCCCUCGAAAAAACAGAUGCGGAUGCUGCCGAUGGCGACCGUGAUACAAGCUGCUCCGCCAGUGCAAGCUCAAUUCAUCCACUUCUACUU